AGGUGCGAUUAUAUCAACACUAAAGCACUGGAUCCCAUCAGAACUCCAAAGUUAAGCGUGCUCAGGCGAGAGUAGUACUAGGAUGGUUGACCCCCUGGGAAUUUCUCAUGUUGCACUCC